rnacentral:piRNA from 1 species
CGGGCCAGAAAGCCAAGCUGGGU